GACGAACGCUGGCGGCGUGCCUAAUACAUGCAAGUCGAACGAGAGCGACCGGUGCUUGCACUGGUCAAUCUAGUGGCGAACGGGUGAGUAACACGUGGGUAACCUGCCCAUCAGAGGGGGAUAACAUCCGGAAACGGAUGCUAAAACCGCAUAGGUCUUCGAGCCGCAUGGCUUGAAGAGGAAAAGAGGCGCAAGCUUCUGCUGAUGGAUGGACCCGCGGUGCAUUAGCUAGUUGGUGAGGUAACGGCUCACCAAGGCCGUGAUGCAUAGCCGACCUGAGAGGGUGAUCGGCCACAUUGGGACUGAGACACGGCCCAAACUCCUACGGGAGGCAGCAGUAGGGAAUCUUCCGCAAUGGACGCAAGUCUGACGGAGCAACGCCGCGUGAGUGAAGAAGGUUUUCGGAUCGUAAAACUCUGUUGCUAGAGAAGAACAAGUGCUAGAGUAACUGUUAGCGCCUUGACGGUAUCUAACCAGAAAGCCACGGCUAACUACGUG
rnacentral:rRNA from 1 species